AAUAGAUACCCGGGUAGUCCACGCCGUAAACGAUGAGUGCUAGGUGUCGGGGGUUUCGACACCCGCGGUGCCGAAGUUAACACAGUAAGCACUCCGCCUGGGGAGUACGGUCGCAAGACUGAAACUCAAAGGAAUUGACGGGGACCCGCACAAGCAGUGGAGUAUGUGGUUUAAUUCGAAGCAACGCGAAGAACCUUACCAGGUCUUGACAUCCCUUUGAAUCCUCUAGAGAUAGAGGCGGCCCUUCGGGGACAGAGGAGACAGGUGGUGCAUGGUUGUCGUCAGCUCGUGUCGUGAGAUGUUGGGUUAAGUCCCGCAACGAGCGCAACCCUUGAUCUUAGUUGCCAGCGCGUGAAGGCGGGCACUCUAGGAUGACUGCCGGUGACAAACCGGAGGAAGGCGGGGAUGACGUCAAAUCAUCAUGCCCCUUAUGACCCGGGCUACACACGUACUACAAUGGCCGGUACAACGGGCGGCGAAAGGGCGACCUUGAGCGAAUCCCUGAAAGCCGGUCUCAGUUCGGAUUGCAGGCUGCAACUCG
rnacentral:rRNA from 1 species